GAUGAACGCUGGCGGCGUGCCUAAUACAUGCAAGUCGAGCGAACAGACGAGGAGCUUGCUCCUCUGACGUUAGCGGCGGACGGGUGAGUAACACGUGGAUAACCUACCUAUAAGACUGGGAUAACUUCGGGAAACCGGAGCUAAUACCGGAUAAUAUAUUUAACCGCAUGGUUCAAUAGUGAAAGACGGUUUUGCUGUCACUUAUAGAUGGAUCCGCGCCGCAUUAGCUAGUUGGGAAGGUAACGGCUUACCAAGGCGACGAUGCGUAGCCGACCUGAGAGGGUGGUCGGCCACACGGGAACUGAGACACGGUCCAGACUCCUAAGGGAGGCAGCAGUAGGGAAUCUUCCGGAAUGGGCGAAAGCCUGACGGAGCAACGCCGCGGGAGUGAUGAAGGUCCUCGGAUCGUAAAACUCUGUUAGUAGGGAAGAACAAAAGUGUAAGUAAAUAUGCACGUCUUGACGGUACCUAAGCAGAAAGCCACGGCUAACUACGUG
rnacentral:rRNA from 1 species